AUAACUUGGAUAACGGUUUAUCAAAAUUGCAAACAAAGAAAUAUAAAUGAGAUUACUAUGUAAGAACAUAUGUAAGUAGGAAGUAAACACUGGUCCAAUAGUCGACUAUAGAUAUUGCUUCUAUAGGUCUCAAAAGUGAAGCAUAAUUAUAUAUGCGAAAAUCAUUUUCGGAGACCACAUGUACAGAGCGAUACAAAUUAGUAUAGAAAUUUAUGGCAACAAUGUGAACCAUCGUAAAAGUUGACAAAUUUGAAUACUUGACUGCAAAUAACAUUAAUAAUUCAUAAACCUUGUGGCAAAUCAUGUCAGCCAUAUUAUGUCUCGU